rnacentral:misc_RNA from 1 species
UCUCCGUAGGUGAACCUGCGGAGGGAUCAUUACAGAGUUCAUGCCCUACCGGGUAGAUCUCCCACCCUAUGUUAUUAUUACUUUAUUGCUUUGGCGGGCCGUUAGGCUCCGGCCCGACUACCGGCCCCGGCUGGUAAGCGCCCGCCAGAGGACCCAAAACCCUGAAUAUUAGUGUCGUCUGAGUACUAUAUAAUAGUUAAAACUUUCAACAACGGAUCUCUUGGUUCUG